GUUUGGGAACAAGCGCAAGCGGUUGCCAAAGAAAUGGUUUGAUUCAGACAGUGAAUCUGAUAUUGUCUACAUUGAUGACCAUGAAGAGGAUGAAUGCAGUGGAAGCGAUAUAGAACUUUUGAGGCUGACCACAGCAAGGCAAGGAAUAAAAAGCGUGUAUACCUCUAGUUCUGAUGAAGAAAUAGAGAAGGAAAG